CCUACGGGGGGCAGCAGUGGGGGAUAUUGCACAAUGGGGGGAACCCUGAUGCAGCGACGCCGCGUGAGUGAAGAAGUAUCUCGGUAUGUAAAGCUCUAUCAGCAGGGAAGAAGCAAGACGGUACCUGACUAAGAAGCCCCGGCUAACUACGUGCCAGCAGCCGCGGUAAUACGUAGGGGGCGAGCGUUAUCCGGAUUUACUGGGUGUAAAGGGAGCGUAGACGGCAUGGCAAGUCUGGAGUGAAAGCCCGGGGCCCAACCCCGGGACUGCUCUGGAAACUGCCAUGCUAGAGUGCUGGAGAGGUAAGUGGAAUUCCUAGUGUAGCGGUGAAAUGCGUAGAUAUUAGGAGGAACACCAGUGGCGAAGGCGGCUUACUGGACAGUGACUGACGUUGAGGCUCGAAAGCGUGGGGAGCAAACAGGAUUAGAUACCCCAGUAG
rnacentral:rRNA from 1 species